ACCCGGUCUACUCCCGCCAUCGGCAUUAAAAUAUAGCAAAAAUACCCCAUUUUCAAACCGCGAUUGCUUGUCGAUUUGGAGGAGCGAUCUAGCGUUUUAAAGAACCAACAGAAAGAGCAAGUCUUCCUGAUUUUGAUGACGUGUUUUUUUUAACUUUUCUCAUUAAAAAAGGUAGUUCGCUCCUGCGUUAUUUCAAAGCCAUUUUUUUGGCGUGUCCAUUGACCCGAAACAAGCAUAAAUACAAUGCGUAAUUAGCAUAACUAAAAAGCAAUAUCUAUACCAAAAAAAUAUAAAACUGUUUAAU